UACGUAGGGGGCUAGCGUUGUCCGGAUUUAUUGGGCUUAAAGGGCGCGUAGGUGGCUAUAUAAGUCAGUGGUGAAAGCCCGCGGCUCAACCGUGGAAUUGCCAUUGAAACUGCAUAGCUUGAGUACAGUUGAAGUGGGCGGAAUAUGUCAUGUAGCGGUGAAAUGCUUAGAUAUGACGUAGAACACCGAUUGCGAAGGCAGCUCACUGAGCUGUAACUGACACUGAGGCACGAAAGCGUGGGUAGCGAACAGG
rnacentral:rRNA from 1 species